ensembl:lncRNA
GGUCGCAAAGGUGUGGCAUUUACACUGGAAUACUGCACCGAGUGUCCAACCGGGGACAGCACAGCUUAUGGCUCGACCCCAGAUGUGUCUCUUGGGCGUUUAAUGCAAUGUGUCUUUGUAGAAAACCUCAUUUCGUGACCUACGUAGUGCACUACAUAGGGAGGACGGCGGCAUUUGAGAUUCAACCCUCGACUUCGUUAACAAACACUUUAAAACAGGACUCGAGGACUCGGAUCUCAGGAGGGGUUUAGACUUUCAGAAAAGCGUGUUGUAUCAGAAACUUGAACGUUUUCGUGACUAAAGCGGAGUUUUAACGAGCGAAAAAGGCGUUAGCUGCUAGCAUGUUGCUGUUGUAUGUGUAUCCGGAGCUAACGCUGACUAGCACUGGAGAGAGGCGCUAAUUCUCGGAUAAUAUCCAUCCAAAAAGUCGAUUUCUCCGGCUGGUGGGAGAGAAGGACUCCAUCCUUACUGCCAGCAGAACAUCUGCCCACACUUCUUCAGACAUGUCCAGCGCAUUGACCGCACUGCUUUGCACCACAGGCAUGUGGUUACUGACUACAUGUGUUGGCUCCCUCUCUGAGACGGUGUUUGAGCGAAGGGGUGAGGAGCUGUAUCAGGGUGAGGGGUAUGAAGACCGUGUGGACGUUCCUGAAGAUCACCUGCUGAAGGGGGACUGUUCACUGGAGUUGAAGAACGUCAGACCUGAGGAUGAAGGAGUUUAUGAAAGCUUCCUGCUGGUGAGACGAACGAAGAGAUCCCUCCGUUCUAAAAGAGUCUUCCUCCAGAGCGUGGAGCUCUCAGUAGAUGAAACACCUAAAGAAACCGUCAGUGGAAAGUUAUUUGUGACAGAUGAUGCUGGACUGAACGGUCCUCACCUACAGAUCUUGGCCUCGUCUCUCUUUUUAUGUUUAGUGUUUUGUUUCUUCUGAGAGGAAACAUAAAGGAAAAUAUUCAUUCGGCUGUUUGUGUGACGCUGCAUAGUGGCUAACAUGCGGCCUGAACCGGCGGCUUCGGCUCUCUGGACUGGGGAGGCUGCCUGGACCGUUGGUGUUCGGCUGCAGGAAAAUGCUACUACUUUGUGGCGAAGGACAUCGUCAACCUUUGAGGCUUUCCAGGCCGGCCUCCUGUAGUUGCUGCGUGAGACUUUCCUUCGCCGCUAAUGACUCUUUCUGGGCUAGCUAGCUGAGUCAUUCUGUGCUGCGGUCACUGAAGUUUUUUCCGCUAGCUGUGGGAAGUGCGUGCGUGUGCGUGAUGUGAAACACACAUCAGACCCCCGGACCCUCAGUACCAGAAUACCACAAGGUUAUGUGCUCCCAGCCCUUCUCUUCAGUCUCUACACCAGUGUCUGUGUCUCUAAGGAACCAGCUGUAAACAUCCUGAAGUUUGUAGAAGACACCAGUGUGGUGGGACAGAGGAGAUGGUGGUGGACUUCAGGUGCAGAUACCUCUUCUCUACCCCCCGUCAACAGCAAUGGCUUUGUGGUUUCCACUGUGGAGUCAUUCAAGUUCCUGGAACAUGGUCUCCAUCGCCAAACACACAGCAGAGAGAGAGACAGGAGAAGCGCCUGAUGAUCCAGUUCUACACAGCGGUCAUCGAGUCUGUCCUCACAUCAUGCUUAACCAGCUGGUUUGAUUGCUCCACCUCGAGCCAAAUAAGCCAAACUCCAUGACAACUUCAGGACAGGAUGGUGGUGAGGAUCAUUGGAUGUAUCCUCAAACACUUUAUGUACAUGUACAACAGCAGAGUGAUGAAGCAUGCUGACCCCUCUCAUCAUGGACAUCACCUCUGGUAGAAGAUUUAGGACCAUCAAAGCCAGCACAGCCAGACAUGCUAACAGCUUUCUCCCCAGAGUUAUAUCAUUAUCCACAGUUGGACACUUUGCAGUUUAAACUUAAACGCAACCAACAGACCUCCUUACUGUAUUACAGUAACUCCUCUGUAGCAUUAUGAUAUUUGCACAGCUGUACAGAUGUUAAUUUUUUACUAAUGUUCAUAUCAUUCUGUUAUACUCUGUAGAUUAUAGUGAAUACAUGUUGGCUCGUCAGUUUUUUGGUUCUCUGUUUUAUUUCUUCAUCCUUAUUUUUUUUGUAUUUCAGUUAAAGGUCUGUAUAGUGUAACAUAGCUGCUGAAAUGUUUCGGUUCAUGCUUCUGACGCAGAACCUCCACGUCUGAUCUCACACGCAGCCAUAGGUGUUUGAGGUUGGUGGAAAAACCUCUGUCAUGAACUCAAAGGUCUUAAAUAAGUUCAGAGAGGUCCAUCAUGGAAAUUUUGCACAUAUUGCAUUCAGUCCACAGUCAAUACUGAAUGUAUAUAGAAACUAAGAUGAAGGAAAAGCCCACUCUGAAUUUGUUUCUGUGACAUCACAAAGCCAAGAUGUUUACCCACAUCCCCUAUUCAGCCUACAAUGGUGUUGUUCUGCCUACAUACAUAUCUUACAGGCACAGUAACCAAAUCAGUUUAAUUGUUCAUGUAGAAACGAAUAAUACACAAAUGUUCUAAGCUGAUCUCAGGGGAAAAUUACAAUACAAGAACAAAUCUAGGACAUAGACCUUUUAAAACACCAUCACACCACAGAGACACUGGAGCUCUUGAAAGCUCGGACUCUCCCUGUGAGAAUUAUGAAUAUGGAGGGAAAUGCAGGUGGAUUGUUCAGCCUCAGAAAUUCUUUCAAGUCGAGAUUCAAGUUAGUCAUGCAUGCAGAAUAAGAGCUUGGAGUCAUGAGCCUCUUAGUUUCAGUGUUCAUCACAAACAGGUGCUCUGCUGGUCCAACCACUUAACUCAUCCAACCUCCUCUUCGUUGAGUAGCUUUUCCUGUUUGCUGAGCUCGUCCACAUCCAGUGC